CAACGCCGGAAAGCUUACCGGGUGCGACAGCGAAUGAAGGCCAAGCUGGAGACUUUGCCAGACUAGCUGAGAGAGGUGCAUGGCCGUCGACAGCUCGUAUCGUGAGACAUCCUGUUAAGUCAGGCAACGAGCGAGACCCGUAUCCACAGUUGCCAGCGUUUUCUCCGGAAGACAGGCACUCUGUGGAGACCGCCUUUGCUAAAAAGGAGGAAGGAGCGGGCUACGGUAGGUCAGUAUGCCCCGAAUCUCCCGGGCUACACGCGGGCUACAAUGGUUGGGACAAUGGGACUCGACCCCGAAAGGGGAAGGUAAUCUCCUAAACCCAAUCUCAGUACAGACUGAGGGCUGAAACUCGCCCUCACGAAGAUGGAAUCCGUAGUAAUCGCGUUUCAACAUAACGCGGUGAAUACGUCCCUGCUCCUUGCACACACCGCCCGUCAAACCACUCGAGUAGGGUCUAGAUGAGGUCGUUCCUACAAAACUGGGGCGUUCGAAUCUAGGUUUUGCAAGAGGGGUUAAGUCGUAACAAGGUAGCC
rnacentral:rRNA from 1 species